GAGAGAGAGAUACAGCGAUAGAGAGAUCGUGCGUGUGUCUGUGUGCACGUGGAUGAAUGAAUGUAUGUGUUCUUAUUAUUUCUCUGUUACCAAUGAUAAUAUUAGUAAACCUCCAUGUUGAUUAGACCAUAAAUAAAUCAACGAUUUCUUACUAAUUUGCUAAUAAUAGAAAUUACUAAAUCAAUCAUAAAGGUAGUUAGCAGAAUUUUUUAACAUCUUCCUAUCCGGUUAUUUUUUUCUCACACGUUAUAUCAUUGUCAUACAUGUCAGUCAUCCACAGGCAUGUUGCCAGCAUGCUAUGCACGCUAAUCACCUCGUUAUACACCCCAUACACAUAGUAUAUAUGCUAUACACGUAUGUCAUGCAUCAUCAUGCUUACUGAAGUCCUGCGAUGAAAAGGACACGCAAAUUUCCAGCAUUUUCUGCUCUUUCACCCAUUCGGCUUGCCUCAGUUCCUCGGAUCUUUUUCUUUGAAUGUCAUGCAUGCCCUCUGUCAUGAGGUCUGGCUUUGUGGUUAUAACAUAUCAUGAAAGUGGUGUCAUUUCUGAUAGCUCUAGCGGUUCUCAUCUUAUUUCUAACUUCAUUAGUCUUUAAGGAAAUCUCUUUCUGAAUACAGUCGGUGAUAAACAUGAUUAGCUUCUACACCAAAUGUACCUAUAUAUACUAUAUUUAUAUUACUGUGUAAGUUCUAAAUCGUUAUACUUGUUAUAGAAGAGAUUUAAUUUUGGUUACCCGCAUCCUUGCAAUCAGAAUGAUAUUGAAAUUUAAGAAAGAAAGUAAGACAAAAACACUGCACAGCUGUUUUAUAAACUCUUACCCCGAGGCAGUUGUGUGCUCGCUGCGAUGACCAUGGCUAAGCAACUCCCCUUGUUAAUGCACAGACCUCCAAAGACUUUUCCGGGGAAGAAUUCUGAUCGUGACUUCUUGCCGUUCAGUGGACGAGGAACGAGAACACUUUCCAAAGAACGGAAAUGUAUUUAAGAGUGCACAGUCUCCUCGCACACGCAUGCACUUCGAUCACUCUCCUGAACUUAUCCCUGACUUCGUUUGACCUUCUUCCCGAGCGAGGUCACUGAACCCUCUCUUCCAGGCAACAACUUCCAAAAAAAAAAAAAAAA
rnacentral:lncRNA from 1 species